GUAGAUGGUGGGGGGGGAGAGGCGGGAAUGCGGAGGGUGGAGUGGUGUAUGUGAAUGACGUGUCGUAAAGCGCAGGCAGGCGGUUGGAUAAGUUGGAUGUGAAAGCUCAGGGCUCAACCUGGGAAUUGCAUGUAAGACUUUCCAGGUAGAGUCUUGUAGAGGAGGGUAGAAUUCCAGGUGUAGCGGUGAAAUGCGUAGAGAUCUGGAGGAAUACCGGUGGCGAAGGCGGCCCCCUGGAUAAAGACUGACGCUCAGGUGCGAAAGCGUGGGGAGCAAACAGGAUUAGAUACCCUAGUAGUC
rnacentral:rRNA from 1 species